rnacentral:rRNA from 1 species
GGAGUUAGCCGGUGCUUCUUCUGUGAGUGAUGUCCUUCCUGCCGGUUAUUGACCCGCAGGCCUUCUUCCUCACUGAAAGUGCUUUACAACCCGAAGGCCUUCUUCACACACGCGGCAUGGCUGGAUCAGGGUUGCCCCCAUUGUCCAAUAUUCCCCACUGCUGCCUCCCGUAGGAGUCUGGGCCGUGUCUCAGUCCCAGUGUGGCUGAUCAUCCUCUCAGACCAGCUACGGAUCGUCGCCUUGGUGAGCCGUUACCUCACCAACCAGCUAAUCCGACAUAGGCUCAUCCGAUAGCGCGAGGCCCGAAGGUCCCCCGCUUUCCCCCGUAGGGCGUAUGCGGUAUUAGCCUGGGUUUCCCCAGGUUAUCCCCCACUACCGGGCAGAUUCCUAUGCAUUACUCACCCGUCCGCCGCUCGCCACCAGGGAGCAAGCUCCCCGUGCUGCCGCUCGACUUGCNUGUGUAGCNGCGCCAGCGUCAUCUGAGCAGAACUACGAACCCGUACGA